rnacentral:rRNA from 1 species
AGUCGAACGAUGAUCAGGAGCUUGCUUCUGUGAUUAGUGGCGAACGGGUGAGUAACACGUGAGUAACCUGCCCCUGACUCUGGGAUAAGCGUUGGAAACGACGUCUAAUACUGGAUACGACUUCCGGCCGCAUGGUCUGGUUGUGGAAAGAUUUUUUGGUUGGGGAUGGACUCGCGGCCUAUCAGCUUGUUGGUGAGGUAAUGGCUCACCAAGGCGACGACGGGUAGCCGGCCUGAGAGGGUGACCGGCCACACUGGGACUGAGACACGGCCCAGACUCCUACGGGAGGCAGCAGUGGGGAAUAUUGCACAAUGGGCGAAAGCCUGAUGCAGCAACGCCGCGUGAGGGAUGACGGCCUUCGGGUUGUAAACCUCUUUUAGUAGGGAAGAAGCGAAAGUGACGGUACCUGCAGAAAAAGCACCGGCUAACUACGUGCCAGCAGCCGCGGUAAUACGUAGGGUGCAAGCGUUGUCCGGAAUUAUUGGGCGUAAAGAGCUCGUAGGCGGUUUGUCGCGUCUGCUGUGAAAUCCCGAGGCUCAACCUCGGGCUUGCAGUGGGUACGGGCAGACUAGAGUGCGGUAGGGGAGAUUGGAAUUCCUGGUGUAGCGGUGGAAUGCGCAGAUAUCAGGAGGAACACCGAUGGCGAAGGCAGAUCUCUGGGCCGUAACUGACGCUGAGGAGCGAAAGCAUGGGGAGCGAACAGGAUUAGAUACCCUGGUAGUCCAUGCCGUAAACGUUGGGCGCUAGAUGUAGGGACCUUUCCACGGUUUCUGUGUCGUAGCUAACGCAUUAAGCGCCCCGCCUGGGGAGUACGGCCGCAAGGCUAAAACUCAAAGGAAUUGAC